UACAGAGGUCCCAAGCGUUGUUCGGAUUCACUGGGCGUAAAGGGUGCGUAGGUGGUUAGGUAAGUCCGAUGUGAAAUCUCCAGGCUCAACCUGGAAAUGGCAUUGGAUACUAUCUAGCUUGAGGAGUGGAGGGGGGACUGGAAUUCUCGGUGUAGCAGUGAAAUGCGUAGAUAUCGAGAGGAACACCAGUGGCGAAGGCGGUUCUCUGGGCAUGACCUGACGCUGAGGAGCGAAAAGUGUGGGGGAGCGAACAGG
rnacentral:rRNA from 1 species